rnacentral:tRNA from 1 species
UGGGGGGUUGUGUAACGGUAGCACUCGAGCUUUUGGAGCUCGUAGUCCUGGUUCGAAUCCAGGCCUCCCAGCCA